UUGGCAUAAUGAUCCCGUAACUUCGGAAGAAGGGAUGCCACGUCAGGUUGCCAGACUUGCUCUGGUUGCUCGACGGGGCCGCAGAGAAUCGACUCAAGCGACUGUUUAGCAAAAACACAGGUGCGUGCCAAGCCGCAUAAGGCGCCGUAUACGCACUGACUCCUGCCCGGUGCCGGAAGGUUAAGGGGAGAGGUUAGCCGCAAGGCGAAGCUUUGAUCCGAAGCCCCGGUAAACGGCGGCCGUAACAAUAACGGUCCUAAGGUAGCGAAAUUCCUUGUCGGGUAAGUUCCGACCUGCACGAAUGGAGUAACGACUUGAGUACUGUCUCGACCACGUGCUCGGCGAAAUAGCAGUCUCGGUGAGGAUUCCGAGUCCCCGCGACAGGACAAAAAGACCCCAUGCACCUUUACUGCAGCUUGUUAUUGACGAUUGCAUAAGACUGUGUAGCAUAGGUGGGAGCCGUUGAGACGGGGGCGCUAGCUCUCGUGGAGGCAUCAGUGAAAUACCACCCUGUGUUCUGUGAUCGUCUCACCGCGAUAGGCAAACCCUAUCCGGGACCGUGACAGGUGGGCAGUUUGACUGGGGCGGUCGCCUCCGAAAGAGUAACGGAGGCGCGCGAAGGUUGGCUCAGCGCGGUCGGUAAUCGCGCCUAUAGAGUGUAACGGCAGAAGCCAGCCUGACGGUGAGACCGACGGGUCGAGCCGAGACGAAAGUCGGCCGUAGUGAUCCGGUAGACCGGUGUGGAUCGGCUAUCGCGCAACGGAUAAAAGGUACGCUGGGGAUAACAGGCUUAUCGCGCCCGAGAGUUCACAUCGAUGGCGCGGUUUGGCACCUCGAUGUCGGCUUGUCACAUCCUGGGGCUGGAGAAGGUCCCAAGGGUUCGGCUGUUCGCCGAUUAAAGUGGCACAUGAGCUGGGUUCAGAACGUCGUGAGACAGUUCGGUCUGUAUCCGUCGUGGGCGUUGGAGGGUUGAGGGGUGCGAACUCUAGUACGAGAGGACCGAGUUGGACGAUCCGCUCGUGUCCCGGCUGUGGCGCCAGCUGCAACGCCGGGUAGCGAUGAUCGGUGGCGAUAACCGCUGAAAGCAUCUAAGUGGGAAGCGUCCCCCAAGAUGAACCCUCCCUGGGAACUUGAUUCCCCUAAAGGGCCGGAGGAGACUACUCCGUCGAUAGGCGACAGGUGGAAGUAGCGCAAGCUAUUACGAGCUCAGUCGUCCUAAUCGCCCGUGCGGCUUGACUCC
rnacentral:rRNA from 1 species